CUUCUCCCUGGCCCCAGCUCUCAUUCCUGGUACUACUGCUGCAGCCUGGAGCRCCUUGGGGCCUCGCUGGUGGCUGUGGUUUGUCCUGGGCUGCAAUGGAUCCUCUCACCGGCACCCUUCUUCUGCUGUGGUGAGGAUGUCAGACUGUGCCUGCAUUGGUGAGAAAUGUGCCUAUGCUGUGGACACCUCUGCUCCUGGCUAGUGCCCAGUCAUGGAGAUGUCCUGUUCUUUCUUCUCCCCUGCAUGUGUUUUAGGUGGGUGCUCCUUAGUGAUGAGGAGGAGCAAGGCCACUGAAGCUGGUGGAGUUAAAUCRGUGCAAAGUCUAGAAAUUUGGCAGGACAGUCAUGCAGGUUCAAUGGGAAGAGCUGCAAAGAUCUGAUUAAACUUUUUCUCCAAAGGCAAAAGUUUUUCUGGAGAUGCUUCAGCUGUUAUUGGAGUUGGGAUGAAGAAGCAAGGUUUCUGAGGCUGGAACAAAUAUAAAUCAUAAUAACGGUUGGGAGGACUAUGUUAAUCUGGAUUGCCUUCUGUUAYGUGCUUCAAAAACUUGAGCCAUUCUUCCUCUGAGUAUCUUGCAAGUAUCAACAGAUAAGAAAGACAAAAGGCAGCAAGUGGGGAUAUGUUCCUCACUCUUGCUUCUCAUCUGCAAAAAUCAAAGCACCUUGCAAAAAUUGGCAGCGGUCUCCGUGCACGACUCAUUGAAGAAACUGAAUGCAAACAUGCUCAAGAUAAUGCUGAGGAUUAGAAGUGAUCAGACCGCAGCAGUUGUUCCAGCUCUGCGUUUUUAAUGGCUAAGUUGCCCCAGCUUGGCUGAUGAGCAGUGACUCAUUAAGCCUUAACGAGAUUGUGUUAGCAUCUAGCUGUACCCUUAACCAUGGUGAUUCUCAUGUGGGACCCUUAAUGUGACUUGUAYGUUUGGCAGGAGCUGGAGAGCCUUAGGAAGCUGCCCUGAACCCAGCUGGCUCCACCACCUGUGCUUGUGGCCUGGAUGGUGCCUGUGGGCAAAGCCUGGACUGUGCAGACUUGGUUCUGGACAAGUCUGGGAAAGCCUAAACUUGAGCAGAGCAGUGCUCUGGCAGUGACCCGGUGGAUCUGGUUCCUCGGAGCCUUCCUCAAGGGCAGGGAGCACAGUUUGACCCUCAGCUCCUCAGGCUUUGCUGGUGGUGCUCAAGCCAGACAUGAUGAUGAUGCUCAAGCCAGGCUUAUUGGCAGGAACAGCUCCACGUGCAUGAGCAACAGAACAAGCCGGCUAUUCAUUCCAGGGGCGACUGGCUUCGGACCACCUACGAGCGAGGCAUCUGCAGGACCRACCACAUCUCAUCAGCCUGUUUUGCCUGUCAACAAAGCACCGUCAGGGCACCAUGGGCAUCCUCUUCUCUGACUCCCUUGCGCUCUGUGGAGGCCAAACACUAGUCACAGCCUUAUGACGCCUCUGGGAUGCCAAGAGGAGCAAUUAAGACAUCAGUGAUUCUCCUCUUCCAACAGACUUUGCUGACUUUUGUUUAUUUUUUUUGUGUGCUGAUGAAGCUUUGGCUGGUUCCUUAUUUACCUUACCUUGUGCUGGCAGGCCUAGGCUGGGCAGAAGAUCUUUUCUGGAGAGAUCUGGAGCUCCCCCAGGUCACUGUGUUCUGUCCCAGCUAGCUCACCCUCUCGAGACAUGAUGUUCAUCAGCUGUCCCGCUGCAAUGUGGUUCUUUCAGGACCUGGAGGAUGGCAAUCAUUUGUGUACGGUGUCCACUUAUCUUUGCCAAUGCUUAGAAGUGGGGGGAAUGGGGUGUUUGACCUUGAGUAUGAGGAAUUUGUGACUGCAUGUGUGGGCUGUGUGGAUGCAGCCGCCUGCUUGGAGCUUGCUUGGGGCUCAUUGUGCGGUGUAGACUUGUCUUACAUCUAAUUAGAGACUUGCAUCUCCCCUUCUUGCCUGUCACUCAUCCCCCUCUCUCCCCCUCUGUCUUCACAAACUGCUCUCAGUGCAGGUGGAGGGAGAGCCAGCUCUGAUGUCCUUGGCUUUUUUAAUCAUUUUAGGCCUUUCUGUGCUGAACCUGACCUGUAGGCUGGAGCAGAGCUGGGUUUGCAGGGGGCCAAGUGAAGCUCACCAGCAAACCUCUCAGCAGACAGGCUUGCAGUCAAAGAGCUCCCACUGAGAAGAACCGAGUCCGAUGAGUGGGUGUCCUUUUCUCCUAGCAGUCUGACAAACUUGGAUGCAAAUUUGCCUCGGGGAGCUCCCUGCAGAGCCAGGACCUGAGCCCAUGUUGAACCCGUCUUCCCUGCUUUGACCAUGAGGUUGCUCUUCUCUCCUGCUGCCAUCCCUGGAUGAUYCCUCCCAUGGGAAGGGGACUCCCAGGGAAUGCAAGUGGCCUGUGAAGGAAGCCAGUGUUGUGUGAUGUUGCAAUGACCUCAGGAUGUUUUGCAGGGCAGCUUGUGUUCUGCAGGUAGCUCAGGUUUGGCUGCGAUGCUCUCAUGCACGAGAGCACCCACUUUGCAAAAUCGGGAAGAUUGUUUUCCUUUGUGUCACGGAUGGAGUCAUGACCUGGCAUUAUUUAAAACUGGUUUUGUAUCUACGAUUACUUUUACUUGUACAGCAUUGCAGGCAAUUAUCUGCCAAUAAUUAUUAUGAGGAAUAAAUCCAGAAAGAGUUUAUUUAACAUGAAUGUGUUUAGAAAGCUAAAUGCCGAGGAUAGGUUAUGACUCGAAGGCUCAGGACUCCUGGGCUCUGAUUCCAGGUUUGCUGCUAAUUUACUCUGUGGCUCUGGCACUUAAGUCCUGAGGCAAAGCCUGAGGUGGACU